rnacentral:miRNA from 1 species
CGUCUCUUCAUUCUCUCUCGGC